rnacentral:tRNA from 1 species
GCCCUACUGGCGCAAUGGCUAGCGCGUUGAACUUCUAAUUCAAAGGUUGCAAGUUCGAGUCUUGCGUGGGGCU